rnacentral:rRNA from 1 species
UAAAGGAAUUGGCGGGGGAGCACCACAAGGGGUGAAGCCUGCGGUUCAAUUGGAGUCAACGCCAGAAAUCUUACCCGGAGAGACAGCAGAAUGAAGGUCAAGCUGAAGACUUUACCAGACAAGCUGAGAAGGUGGUGCAUGGCCGUCGCCAGCUCGUGCCGUGAGAUGUCCUGUUAAGUCAGGUAACGAGCGAGAUCCUCGCCACUAGUUGCUAUCAUUAUUCUCAGGAAUAGUGGGGCGAAUUAGUGGGACUGCCGUUGUUAAAACGGAGGAAGGAGGGGGCUACGGCAGGUCAGUAUGCCCCGAAACUCUGGGGCCACACGCGGGCUGCAAUGGUAGCGACAAUGAGCUCCAAACUCGAAAGAGAGUGGCAAUCUCUAAACGCUACCACAGUUAUGACUGAGGGCUGUAACUCGCCCUCACGAAUAGUGGAAUCCCUAGUAACCGCGUGUCAUUACCGCGCGGUGAAUACGUCCCUGCUCCUUGCGGACACACCGCCA